rnacentral:rRNA from 1 species
AGUGAACGCUGGCGGUAGGCCUAACACAUGCAAGUCGAACGGCAGCACAGUAAGAGCUUGCUCUUACGGGUGGCGAGUGGCGGACGGGUGAGGAAUACAUCGGAAUCUACUUUUUCGUGGGGGAUAACGUAGGGAAACUUACGCUAAUACCGCAUACGACCUACGGGUGAAAGCAGGGGAUCUUCGGACCUUGCGCGAUUGAAUGAGCCGAUGUCGGAUUAGCUAGUUGGCGGGGUAAAGGCCCACCAAGGCGACGAUCCGUAGCUGGUCUGAGAGGAUGAUAAGCAACACUGGAACUGAGACACGGUCCAGACUCCUACGGGAGGCAGCAGUGGGGAAUAUUGGACAAUGGGCGCAAGCCUGAUCCAGCCAUACCGCGUGGGUGAAGAAGGCCUUCGGGUUGUAAAGCCCUUUUGUUGGGAAAGAAAAGCAGCAGGUUAAUACCCCGCUGUUCUGACGGUACCCAAAGAAUAAGCACCGGCUAACUUCGUG